UCCUUUAGUUGGGACCCACCUUCAAGUUGAUGUCAUAAUAUCCUCUCACCCUCAGGAUAUCCCUCCAGGGGCAGGGACCCCAGUCACUAGGAAAAGACAGGUGGUAGUAGUGGGAGAUUUGAUUAUUAAAAAUAUAGAUAGUUGGGUUUGUGAGGACUGGAAGUACCUCUUGGUGAAUUGCCUGCUGGGACAAAGGAAUUUACAGACUGGUGCCCAGGUCAGUACACAUGUACAUAAAGAGAUGGAUAACCAGAUGGGGAAACUGAGGCAUAAGGAGGUGAAAGACACAUCCAAGGUUACCCAGUGGCAGAGAUGGGACUAGAACCCGAGGCUCCCACGCCCCAGUACCACGUGCUAGCCACUAGCCACAACACUGCCAAAAGAUCACAGGCAGCAUUCAAAAAUAGACGAGAAGGAUAAAUAUACUGGCUUAUAUACACGUCAUGCAUAACAGAACUAUCUGAAAUACUGGGCC